rnacentral:rRNA from 1 species
UACGUAGGCAGCAAGCGUUGUUCGGAAUUAUUGGGCGUAAAGAGUAUGUAGGCGGUUCGCUAAGUCUGAUGUGAAAUCUCCCGGCUUAACUGGGAGGGUGCGUCGGAUACUGGCGGGCUCGAGUACGGGAGAGGGAAGCGGAAUUCCUGGUGUAGCGGUGAAAUGCGUAGAUAUCAGGAGGAACACCGGUGGUGUAGACGGCUUCCUGGACCGUAACUGACGCUGAGAUACGAAAGCGUGGGUAGCAAACAGG